rnacentral:rRNA from 1 species
GAGUUUGAUCCUUGGCUCAGGAUGAACGCUAGCGACAGGCCUAACACAUGCAAGUCGAGGGGUAACAUAAGUGCUUGCACAAGAUGACGACCGGCGCACGGGUGAGUAACACGUAUGCAACCUACCUUUCACAGAGGGAUAGCCCAGAGAAAUUUGGAUUAAUACCUCAUAGUAUUUGUUAAUCGCAUGAUUAAUAAAUUAAAACUCCGGUGGUGAAAGAUGGGCAUGCGCUCUAUUAGUUAGUUGGUGAGGUAACGGCUUACCAAGGCGACGAUAGAUAGGGGCUCUGAGAGGAUAGUCCCCCACACUGGUACUGAGACACGGACCAGACUCCUACGGGAGGCAGCAGUGAGGAAUAUUGGUCAAUGGUCGCAAGACUGAACCAGCCAUGUCGCGUGAAGGAUGACGGCCCUAUGGGUUGUAAACUUCUUUUAUAUGGGAAGAAAAUUAGUUACGUGUAACUAACUGCCGGUACCAUAUGAAUAAGGAUCGGCUAACUCCGUGCCAGCAGCCGCGGUAAUACGGAGGAUCCAAGCGUUAUCCGGAUUUAUUGGGUUUAAAGGGUGCGUAGGCGGCCACUUAAGUCAGUAGUGAGAUCUCGAGGCUCAACCUCGAACGUGCUAUUGAAACUGAGUGGCUUGAGUACAGACGUGGCAGGCGGAAUGUGUUAUGUAGCGGUGAAAUGCAUAGAUAUAACACAGAACACCGAUAGCGAAAGGCAGCUUGCCAGACUGUAACUGACGCUGAUGCACGAAAGCGUGGGUAGCGAACAGGAUUAGAUACCCUGGUAGUCCACGCCGUAACGAUGAUUACUGGUUGUAGGCGAUACAUAGUCUGUGACUGAGCGAUAGCAUUAGUAAUCCACCUGGGNGUACGUUCGCAGAUGAAACUCAAGAUGACG